CACGUAGGGCGCAAGCGUUGUCCGGAAUCAUUGGGCGUAAAGAGCUCGUAGGCGGUUUGUCACGUCUGCUGUGAAAACUCGGGGCUUAACCCCGAGCUUGCAGUGGAUACGGGCAGACUAGAGGUAGGUAGGGGAGAAUGGAAUUCCCGGUGUAGCGGUGAAAUGCGCAGAUAUCGGGAGGAACACCUAUGGCGAAGGCAGCUCGCUGGGACGUUACUGACGCUGAGACGCGAAAGCGUGGGGAGCAAACAGG
rnacentral:rRNA from 1 species